rnacentral:rRNA from 1 species
CACGGGGGGAGCAAGCGUUGUUCGGAAUCACUGGGCGUAAAGGGCGUGUAGGCGGUCCAGUAAGUGAGACGUGAAAUGCCUCGGCUUACCCGAGGACCUGCGUCUCAAACUGCUGAACUAGAGUAUGGGAGAGGAUGAGGGAAUUCCUGGUGUAGCGGUGAAAUGCGUAGAUAUCAGGAGGAACACCGGUGGCGAAAGCGCUCAUCUAGCCCAAUACUGACGCUGAGGCGCGAAAGCUAGGGGAGCAAACGGG